UUUGGAUUUCAACUUUAUAUUUUUCUUUUCUUUCUUUUGCAGAUUGGAUUUCCAGGUAGAUAACUGUAACUGAUCCAUUAUGAUUUUGUGGAUAACAGUGUAUUUCAUCAGGAUAUUUCACCUAAACAUGCGUACAUAGUUCAAAAAGCUCAUCUUAAAUGGGUCAUUUACUCUUUGCCACCAAAACAUGUUUGAUCAUUGUUCUUCGUUUCCAAGUUAUUUGGUACUUGUAAAAGAUAUACUAUUCUUCGUUUCCAAGUUAUUUGGUACUUUUAAAAGAUAUACUAUAUGUAUUCGUUGGUUAUUUAUUUAUUUAUUUUGUGAUGCCAUCUCUACAGUAAGUUACAUGAGCUGUUAUUUCCACAAGUAGAAUCUUCUUGGUGCGUAAAUUGUGGUUGUACUCCUGCUUUUUUCUUUGGCUGAAUCUUGGAAAAUGAUAAUUAUGAUAUUCUUUCUGCCUGGUUUUCCAUCUACUUCUGCUUUUCCU
rnacentral:lncRNA from 1 species